AUACAACUUAAGAAUCAUGAGAAUAACUACACCACUCAUGACCUUGAGUUAGAAGCGGUGGUAUUUUCUUUGAAAGUUUAGUGUCAUUAACUUUAUAGUUCGCAUGUUGAUAUCUUCACAGAUCAUAAGAUCUUGUAAUAUUUCUUUAGUCAAAAGAGUUGAAUCUUCAUUGGAGAAUAUAUCUUGAACUUCUCAAGGAUUAUGACAUAAGUAUGUUAUACCAUCUGGGAAAGACAAAAGUUGUUGUUGUUGAUGCUCUUAGAAGGGUGUCUAUGAGGAGUGUUGCUCAUAUAGAAUAAGGUAAUAAAGAGCUUGUGAAGUAAGUAAGGUAAGAAAGAGCUUGUAAAGGAUUCACAUAGACUCGCACAUUUGGUGGUGUAAUAGUGUAGAAUGGUUUUGAGUCCUCUUUCGUGAUUAAGAUAAAGGAGAAGCAAGAUAGUGAAGGAUGCAGUCUGUAAGAAAAAAGUUUAAGUUUUUUGUCAUGGGGAGAAUGGUAUUCAUUGGUAUUAUAGUAGAUUAUCUGCUCCAAAUAUAGAUGGGUUGAGAGAGUAGAUUUUGAUAUAGGCUCACAAUUCUAGAUACUUUAUUAUCCAAGUUCCACCAAGAUGUACCGUGGUUUGAGAGAAAUCUUUUGAUGGUGUGGUACAAAAAAGGACAUUGCAAAUUUUAUAGCAAAGUGUCCCAACUGUCAGGAAAAGAAGGUUGAACAUCAAAGGCCCAAUAGUAAGGCUCACGAUAUAAACAUUCCUAGAUGGAAAUUAAAGAUAAUUAAUAUGGAUUUCAUAACUGGCCUACCACGUAAGCAUCAACUAUAUAGCUUAAUUUGAGUGAUUGUAGAUAGAAUAACUAAGUCAACUCACUUCUUACCUGUCAAGGCUAGAGAUUCAGCAGAGGAUUAUUCCAAGUUGUUGAUGUUACCCAAAUUAUACCUCUAAAAUGAAUUAUAAAUCAAUUGAUAUUCAAAUAUAGAAUCCAAUUGAGGUUGGGUCGAUCCUACAAGAAAUAUGGUUAGGACUAGGUCAAUAUGGUUAUUUAUGAUUUUAGUCAUUUAUAUGUAAUUGGGGGAUUUAAAUGAACAAGUAAAUAGUUUGCAAAUUGAAGUAAUAAGUAAAUAGUUAUCUGAGUAUAUUGAGAAAAUUAAAGAGAAUUGACUAGGAUUGUGUUCCCCAUUAUUUCAUAACUUAGUAAGUGUGUCGUAUAGUGAUCUAUCUUAGUUCUUAGAAUGAAAAACUAGUAAGUCAAGUUCACCUAAAUUAUUGGUCCUUCGAUAGAUGAAUAUCACUGUGCAACUUGGUCCGUCUAUGAGUGUGUGCUUUACUAACUCUUACCCUUGAUUUCAAAUUAACUAUUUCUGAACAGGGCUUAAGCUACUCAAUGAGGGUUGAUACCCUCAAACCUCUGUUAUUAAUCUCUUUUUUCAUUCAUUACCUCUUUGGCCCAACAAGCAAAAAUAAUGCAAGUUUUACUGUGUACCACUUGUUAAAAAGCAACUAAUACAAAGGAAAGAACAAUAAAUGCAUAAACACUAUCAAUAAGUAGUUUAGUCUAUUUUUUUAAUAUAUCAUGGUUCCCACAAUCCUAGUUGUGGAUUAAACUACUAAUACUCUCAGAAUUCCAAUUAGAAGUUAUAGACAAAAUUGUAAUUAUAAACUUACGAGAUUGAGUAGAUGAAAUCCAGAGACUUGAAUUAUCAAAGAAAAUUGAAUAACCAAGAAUCAAUGUAUGAAUACUUCUUCAUACAUUGAAUAACCCAGAGAAAGGAGGUCAUGUUUCUCUCUCAACGCAUUUUAGCUAGGAUAUGCUAAUGUGCACCGACAGAAGCCACAACAUACCUCGACAUCGAAAAACCAGGAAGGGUAAACUAACGGAGAAAUUGGUAACUCCAGAGCACCCAAUUAGGCUCACUGACCUUCGGUAGUUUCAUCCCAUCUCAGAUACAGUCAAUCUUGGAAGGUAAGGAAGAUAGUUAAUUGGAAUCAUAGUCGCAGAAAUCACUCUACCUGCAAUCUUUCGGACCACCAACAAUGGCACAGGCAGCUCGAUGAUUGCAAUUUUCAAAGGUGGGUACUUCAACCCACCCAACUCUUGUGGACAAGUCAGAGAAACAUGAGAAUCGCACUAUACAACGAGGUAAGAAGCUGUCUUAUGUCCCACCGAGCUCGAAAGAAGGAAAACUUAUAGUAAAUAUUGAGGCGUAUGACCUCAAAGAACAAGAGAAGUACUGGAAAAUAGCCAUUAUUGGAUACGUCAUAGGCAAUACACCAUACCUGAAAGCAAUGAAAAGUUACAUCUCACAGGCAUGGAGUUUUGCCCAAAAACCCCAGGUACUACUACAUAAUGAGGGCUACUUCAUCUUUAGAUUUAAUUCUAUGGAGGAUUGUGAAGGGUGAAGCAGGCUGGCCCAUACACAUUCCACAACAAGCCCUUUUACGUCAUGACUGCCAGGUGAAUUUCAUCUUCAAACCUGAUUGAAUUACUAAAAUUCUAUUAUGGGUAACUUUCUCAAGUCUUCCAGUGGGCUACUGUUCAACUGAAGCCCUCAGUAAAGUUGCAAGUGCAGUGGGAAAACCAUUAUAUACGGAUCAAUUUAAUGUGAAUAUGAGUAGUAUAUCUUAUGCUAGGAUUCUGGUUGAAGUGGAUGUUGCCCAACCACUCCUAUACACUGUUUAACUAAUAACUCCGGGGGGGAAGCUUUCAACAACCUGUUGAGUAUAAAUUAAUUAAGUUUUUUAGUGAAUUUUUGAAAUUUGGUCACACAACAUCUGAUUGUUGGAUGAAAGAAAACUCAACAAAGGAUUAUAAAUUCCAGGAAGUGAAGAAAAGGCAAAGAAGAAAGAACAAAAAUAAAGUACAACCCCCACCCAUGAAGCAGGAAUGGAUAAUGAAAGUUGCACAACCAAUGGAGGAAGCUUCACUGGAGGUACAGAAUGAAAAGGAAAAUGAAAUCAUACAUGACCAAGAGGUCACUACUAUCAGAAGCACUAAAAGAAAAGAGAUAAAAACCAGUACCAGCAACAUAGUGAAUAGAUUUUCAGUGUUAAUGUAGGAAGGUACUAGUAAUGCUGGAAUAAGGAGAUAUAUCACAAAGCUCCAUGAUAGUAGCAACUUAGAAUAUAAGAGGGUUGAACCAGUCCUCAAAAUAGAAAGAGCUAAAAUUCUUUCUGCAGAAGAAUAAAGUUGAAAUAAUGGGUAUGUUUGAGACUAGAGUGAAAGAAAAUAAAUAAAAAAAGGUAAUAGAGAAGGUUGCAAGUGGAUGGAAUCAUAGAUUCAACUACCUUAUGGCCUAGAGUGGUAGGGUGUGGAUAUUCUGGAAGGCAAACAUCAGCUUGCAGGUUGAACUCCUCCAUGAACAAUUUCUACAUUGUAAGCUAGAGGUCCCUAUAAACCACAUCUAGUUUUACCUUACUAUAAUAUAUACUAGAAGUGAAAGUCAAAAUAGGGAAGUAUUGUGUCAAGACUUAAUUCAACUGGGACAACAUGUUUAGAAUGCCUGGUUGCUAAGUGGUGAUUUCAAUAAUGUUUUGACAGUAGAAGAUAGAAUUGGCUCACCUGUUCUGCCUAGUGAAGUUAACAGCUUCCAAGGAUGUAGCAAUACCCUCUCCCUCACAGUACUCAAAGCUAAGGGUUGUUAUUUCACUUUCUACAAUAGGUAGUACCCUAGUAGUAGAGUGCAUUCCAAAUAAAUUGGGCAUUUGGCAACUCUCGCUGGAUAUCUACUUAUGGUCAUGUAGAGGCAGAGUAUUUGAAUCUUGGAGUAUCUGAUCAUUCCCCCAUAGUUGUCAGCAUAUGCUCUCAGCCACCAAUAAGUCCAAAACCUUUCAAAUUAUACACGACAGUGCUAAAAUUACUCUAACUUUGGUAGGAUUCUAUAAGAUACAUGGAAUACUUCAUGUCAGGGGACUAAUAUGUUCAUCCUAUGGUAUAAACUAAAGUCAAUGCAGAAAGUUCUAAAGGGGUUGAACAAUUACUUAGCUUCCUACAUUCAGAGGAUCCAGAAAGCUAGAUAAGGCCUUGAGAUCACUCAAGGACUGCUCAUUAUAAAGCCCCUGUGUCCCACAUUAAUUGAACAAGAAAGCACCUGGUUGACUGAACUCAAGAAAUGGAAUAAAAUUGAGGAGCAGGUUUAUAGGCAGAAAGCUAGAGUCAAUUGGAUAGAUGGGGAGAUGCAAACACAAAGUACUUCCAUGCAUAAUUGAAGAUCCAGACAAACAAAAAUGCCAUUACUAGUAUCUAUGAUGAACAGAGGAACAGGUUAGAAGAUCCAGUGUAGGUGGAAGCUGAAUUCACCAGAUUCUUUUCAAACCUUAUGGGAACAGCUGGAACAGAACUACCUUGUCCAAAUGUUGAAGUUAUCAGAAGUUGACCCUGCCUUUCCUAUGAUUAGAAAUGCAAGCUAAUCACUCAUAUUACUGAGCAGGAAAUCUAUGCAAUCAUAAAAAGCAUGCCACAUGAUAAAUCCCCAGGUAUUGAUGGUUUCCCAGCUGAGUAAAAUUGGUCCAUAAUAAAACAGGAUGUAAUUGAUGUUGUUAAGGAAUUUUUUGAAUCUGGAAAACUUUUGAGGUCUUUUAGCCGUACAGUUUUGACCUUAAUCCCUAAAGUAACCAAUUCAACUUAUGUGAGGGAUUAUAGACCUACAGUUUGUUGCACUACAGUCUACAAAAUAAACACCAAGAUCCUUACUAAUAGAAUCAAAAGUGUUGCCCAGCAUAUAUAAACCCCUCCCAAUCAGCUUUUGUGGAAGGUAGGAACAUAGCAGACAACAUCUUUUUCAAUCAUGAAAUUUUUAAGUGGUACUCCAAGAAAGGACUAUUACCUAGCUGUGUCAUGAAAGUUUAUCUUAGGAAGGCUUAUGACUCAAUUGAGUAGGGUUUUCUGAAGGUGCUAUUAGCUGAAUUAGGUUUUCCAAGAAAAUUCAUAGUAUGGAUUAUGGAAUGUGUGACUUCUGUUUCUUAUUCCCUUGUGAUCAAUGGUUGCCUGUCAAAGCCAUUUUAGGGAAAGAGGGUCAUAAGACAAGGGGACCUUAUGUCCCCUUACCUUUUUGUUAUUGAAAUGGAAUAUCUCUAUAGAAAAUUCCAACUUGUGCAGCAACACAAAGAUUUCAGGCAUCAUCCCAUUUGUAAAAGGAUGGGUGUGGUUCACAUCAGUUUUGUAGAUGAUUUGCUAAUGUUCAGUAAGGCUAAACUGAAGUUAAUACACCUGUUGCAAGAGGCUUUUGCAAGAUUCUCAACUGCAUCAGGCCUUCAAGCAAGCCCGGAGAAGAGCUCCUUGUAUAUGGUAGGUGUAAAACCUCAGCAAAAGCAAGAACUACUGCAGGCACUUGGAUACAGGGAAGGAUAAAUCCCAUUCAAAUUCCUGGGGGUCCCUCUCUUCAAAAAACUCAUAGUGAGUCAAUGUAUACCCCUAGUGGAAAAGAUAACAGAGAGAAUCCGAUGUUGGUCUGCAGAAUUACUGUCUUAUGCUGGUAGACUACAGUUGCUCAAGGCAAUGGUACUCAGUAUACAAACUUAGUGGGCACAAAUGUUUGUCCUACCCAAAAAAAUCUUGAAAAUGAUAGAAGCCAUUAGUAGAACUUUCUUGUGGAAAGGUUCUACAGAGAUAUCCAGAAAGUCCCUUGUGUCUUGGGAUAAAUUAUGCAUGCCUCAAGUAGCAGGAGGGAUAAAUAUGUAGAAUGUGAGACUGUGGAACACGACAUCAAUCUUAAAACUAUUAUAGGCAAUCAAUGAGAAGAAGGAAUGCCUUUGGAUCAAGUAGAUAUGAGACAGUAGAGACAUGCCAUAUUCCAGCAAAUGCAACAUAGGUCAUCCGGAAAAUAUAGCAUCAAGAGAAUUAUUAUGCAAUGCCCAACUUUGCAGGGAAUCCUUGAGACUAGAUUCAAAACUGUGGUAGUCAAUGGCUAGCUUAGCAUCAGGAAAUUAGCUGCUACUCCAGUACAAAAAGGUACCCUGGAAGAUCAUAAUACUUCAAUAACAUAUUCAUCCCCAACAUAAAUUUAUCUUAUGGAUGGCUAUAAGAAGAAGGUUAGCAACUAUGGAUAGGCUGCUGAAAUUUGGCAUUUUAUGUGCCUUAAAAUUACAUAUUCUGUGAUUCAACUACAGGAACAUUGUACCUCUUACUCUUUGAUUGCUACGUGACUAAGUCUAUGGCAAAGAUUACUGACAUGGUUGAAAAUUCAGAGGACUAUUGGCUGCUGGCAAGAAGAGGUACAGUAGUCAACCACAUAGCAAAAAAGAAGACAGGGUAAAUUAAGUGUAGGGACAUGUGGCAUAAUCUGGAUAAGCGGCUCGAGUGCAUGACACAAUACUGCAAGCUGUGAUUACAGAAAGUCUUUUUUGAGUGAUCAACGAUAGGGAUAUAGAAACGAUCACUCAUCAUUCUCAAUGACAUGACACAAGAAGAUAAAGAGGGGACAAUGAUGUCAGGCCUUCCAAGAGCACAGAUAAAAUUGUACGGAGCUAAGCAUUAGAAGAAUAUUAGUUGGCCUACUAACAAAUCAGACAUAUGAUCCAUAUGUAUCCGUAUAGGUCUUAGCCCCUUAAGGCUUUAUUGCCAAAAUGUGAUUGGCUAUAUUCUAAGGUUGUAAAGUAUAAAUGGUCGUCCUACUUUACUUGUAAAGGGAUCUACUCUCUCACUCUCUCAAUCAAUACAAUAGUUCUUACUUGGUC